rnacentral:rRNA from 1 species
ACGAACGCUGGCGGCGUGCUUAACACAUGCAAGUCGAACGGAAAGGCCCCUUCGGGGGUACUCGAGUGGCGAACGGGUGAGUAACACGUGAGUAACCUGCCCUUGACUUCGGGAUAACUUCAGGAAACUGGGGCUAAUACCGGAUAGGAAUCCUUGCUGCAUGGUGGGGGUUGGAAAGCUUCGGCGGUUUUGGAUGGACUCGCGGCUUAUCAGCUUGUUGGUGGGGUAGUGGCUUACCAAGGCUUUGACGGGUAGCCGGCCUGAGAGGGCGACCGGCCACAUUGGGACUGAGAUACGGCCCAGACUCCUACGGGAGGCAGCAGUGGGGAAUAUUGCACAAUGGGCGGAAGCCUGAUGCAGCAACGCCGCGUGCGGGAUGACGGCCUUCGGGUUGUAAACCGCUUUCAGCAGGGGCGAAGCUUGUGGUGACGGUACCUGCAGAAGAAGCACCGGCUAACUACGUG